CAGAUGGGAGCUUGCUCCCUGAUGUUAGCGGCGGACGGGUGAGUAACACGUGGGUAACCUGCCUGUAAGACUGGGAUAACUCCGGGAAACCGGGGCUAAUACCGGAUGGUUGUCUGAACCGCAUGGUUCAGACAUAAAAGGUGGCUUCGGCUACCACUUACAGAUGGACCCGCGGCGCAUUAGCUAGUUGGUGAGGUAACGGCUCACCAAGGCGACGAUGCGUAGCCGACCUGAGAGGGUGAUCGGCCACACUGGGACUGAGACACGGCCCAGACUCCUACGGGAGGCAGCAGUAGGGAAUCUUCCGCAAUGGACGAAAGUCUGACGGAGCAACGCCGCGUGAGUGAUGAAGGUUUUCGGAUCGUAAAGCUCUGUUGUUAGGGAAGAACAAGUGCCGUUCAAAUAGGGCGGCACCUUGACGGUACCUAACCAGAAAGCCACGGCUAACUACGUGCCAGCAGCCGCGGUAAUACGUAGGUGGCAAGCGUUGUCCGGAAUUAUUGGGCGUAAAGGGCUCGCAGGCGGUUUCUUAAGUCUGAUGUGAAAGCCCCCGGCUCAACCGGGGAGGGUCAUUGGAAACUGGGGAACUUGAGUGCAGAAGAGGAGAGUGGAAUUCCACGUGUAGCGGUGAAAUGCGUAGAGAUGUGGAGGAACACCAGUGGCGAAGGCGACUCUCUGGUCUGUAACUGACGCUGAGGAGCGAAAGCGUGGGGAGCGAACAGGAUUAGAUACCCUGGUAGUCCACGCCGUAAACGAUGAGUGCUAAGUGUUAGGGGGUUUCCGCCCCUUAGUGCUGCAGCUAACGCAUUAAGCACUCCGCCUGGGGAGUACGGUCGCCAGACUGAAACUCAAAGGAAUUGACGGGGGCCGCACAAGCGGUGGAGCAUGUGGUUAAUUCGAAGCACGCGAAAACCUUACCAGGCUUGACUCCUCUGACAUCCUAAAGAAAGACGCCCCUUC
rnacentral:rRNA from 1 species